GAAAUGCGAUACGUAAUGUGAAUUGCAGAAUUCAGUGAAUCAUCAAAUCUUUGAACGCACAUUGCGCUUUCUGGUAUUCCAGAGAGCAUGCCCAUUUCAGAAUCAGUUGAAUCUCCUCACCACCCUUGGUGGUGGAUGCUGGGCCGUUUGUGCCGCGUGGCACAAUGGCCUGAAAUGCAGUGUAUGGUCCUGUCGCUGUGGGCAGCGGGCCGCAGAGUGCAACAGAUUUAUCUCUUUUCGCUUUGAGGCCUCCGCGUGUCUGCGCGUCCGGCACCUACUUUUCUAUAUCGACGGACGUCCGCCUGGGUGCGGGCGUCCCUCAAUAUUUGGUCUGAAAUUGGGCAAGAAAACCCGCUGAACUUAA
rnacentral:misc_RNA from 1 species